UAGGGAAUCUUCGGCAAUGGACGGAAGUCUGACCGAGCAACGCCGCGCGAGUGAAGAAGGUUUUCGGAUCGUAAAGCUCUGUUGUUAGAGAAGAACGUUGGUAGGAGUGGAAAAUCUACCAAGUGACGGUAACUAACCAGAAAGGGACGGCUAACUACGUGCCAGCAGCCGCGGUAAUACGUAGGUCCCGAGCGUUGUCCGGAUUUAUUGGGCGUAAAGCGAGCGCAGGCGGUUCUUUAAGUCUGAAGUUAAAGGCAGUGGCUUAACCAUUGUACGCUUUGGAAACUGGAGGAAGAGAGUGCGGAAGGGGGGAGUGGAAUUCCAUGUGUAGCGGUGAAAUGCGUAGAUAUAUGGAGGAACAACGGUGGCGAAAGCGGCUCUCUGGUAUGAAACUGACGCGGAGGCUCGAAAGCGUGGGGAGCAAACAGG
rnacentral:rRNA from 1 species